rnacentral:tRNA from 1 species
CUAGCAUACAUUAUACAGCAGACACCACACUAGCCUUCUCAU